rnacentral:misc_RNA from 1 species
AACAUCGCGCACCUGCGGGAACCUGCGGAAGGAUCAUUACAGAGUUGCAAAACUCCCUAAACCACUGUGAACGUUACCUAAACCGUUGCUUCGGCGGGCGGCCCGGGUCCUUCCCGGCGCCCAUCGGCCCUCGCGGGCGCCCGCCGGAGGUAAACCAAACUAUUGCAUUGUAUGGCCUCUCUGAGUCUUCUGUACUGAAUAAGUCAAAACUUUCAACAACGGAUCUCAGAUCGGAAGAGC